rnacentral:rRNA from 1 species
UACGUAGGGUGCGAGCGUUAAUCGGAAUUACUGGGCGUAAAGCGUGCGUAGGCGGUUCGUUAAGUUCGUUGUGAAAGCCCCGGGCUCAACCUGGGAAUGGCAAUGGAAACUGGCGGGCUUGAGUAUGGCAGAGGGGGGUAGAAUUCCACGUGUAGCAGUGAAAUGCGUAGAGAUGUGGAGGAACACCGAUGGCGAAGGCAGCCCCCUGGGUCAAGAUUGACGCUCAUGCACGAAAGCGUGGGGAGCAAACAGG